CGCGGCCUAUCAGCUUGUUGGUGGGGUAGUGGCCUACCAAGGCGGCGACGGGUAGCCGGCCUGAGAGGGUGACCGGCCACAUUGGGACUGAGAUACGGCUCGGACUCCUACGGGAGGCAGCAGUGGGGAAUAUUGCACAAUGGGCGCAAGCCUGAUGCAGCAACGCCGCGUGCGGGAUGACGGCCUUCGGGUUGUAAACCGCUUUCAGCAGGGACGAAGCUUUUUGUGACGGUACCUGCAGAAGAAGCACCGGCUAACUACGUGCCAGCAGCCGCGGUGGUACGUAGGGUGCGAGCGUUGUCCGGAUUUAUUGGGCGUAAAGGGCUCGUAGGCGGUUGAUCGCGUCGGAAGUGGAAACUUGAUGCUUAACGUUGAGCGUGCUUUCGAUACGGGUUGACUUGAGGAAGGUAGGGGAGAAUGGAAUUCCUGGUGGAGCGGUGGAAUGCGCAGAUAUCAGGAGGAACACCAGUGGCGAAGGCGGUUCUCUGGACCUUUCCUGACGCUGAGGAGCGAAAGCGUGGGGAGCGAACAGGCUUAGAUACCCUGGUAGUCCACGCUGUAAACGGUGGGUACUAGGUGUGGGGUCCAUUCCACGGAUUCUGUGCCGUAGCUAACGCAUUAAGUACCCCGCCUGGGGAGUACGG
rnacentral:rRNA from 1 species